AAUGGGUCAGCGACUUAUAUUCUGUAGCAAGGUUAACCGAAUAGGGGAGCCGAAGGGAAACCGAGUCUUAACUGGGCGUUAAGUUGCAGGGUAUAGACCCGAAACCCGGUGAUCUAGCCAUGGGCAGGUUGAAGGUUGGGUAACACUAACUGGAGGACCGAACCGACUAAUGUUGAAAAAUUAGCGGAUGACUUGUGGCUGGGGGUGAAAGGCCAAUCAAACCGGGAGAUAGCUGGUUCUCCCCGAAAGCUAUUUAGGUAGCGCCUCGUGAAUUCAUCUCCGGGGGUAGAGCACUGUUUCGGCAAGGGGGUCAUCCCGACUUACCAACCCGAUGCAAACUGCGAAUACCGGAGAAUGUUAUCACGGGAGACACACGGCGGGUGCUAACGUCCGUCGUGAAGAGGGAAACAACCCAGACCGCCAGCUAAGGUCCCAAAGUCAUGGUUAAGUGGGAAACGAUGUGGGAAGGCCCAGACAGCCAGGAUGUUGGCUUAGAAGCAGCCAUCAUUUAAAGAAAGCGUAAUAGCUCACUGGUCGAGUCGGCCUGCGCGGAAGAUGUAACGGGGCUAAACCAUGCACCGAAGCUGCGGCAGCGACACUAAGUGUUGUUGGGUAGGGGAGCGUUCUGUAAGCCUGUGAAGGUGUACUGUGAGGUAUGCUGGAGGUAUCAGAAGUGCGAAUGCUGACAUAAGUAACGAUAAAGCGGGUGAAAAGCCCGCUCGCCGGAAGACCAAGGGUUCCUGUCCAACGUUAAUCGGGGCAGGGUGAGUCGACCCCUAAGGCGAGGCCGAAAGGCGUAGUCGAUGGGAAACAGGUUAAUAUUCCUGUACUUGGUGUUACUGCGAAGGGGGGACGGAGAAGGCUAUGUUGGCCGGGCGACGGUUGUCCCGGUUUAAGCGUGUAGGCUGGUUUUCCAGGCAAAUCCGGAAAAUCAAGGCUGAGGCGUGAUGACGAGGCACUACGGUGCUGAAGCAACAAAUGCCCUGCUUCCAGGAAAAGCCUCUAAGCAUCAGGUAACAUCAAAUCGUACCCCAAACCGACACAGGUGGUCAGGUAGAGAAUACCAAGGCGCUUGAGAGAACUCGGGUGAAGGAACUAGGCAAAAUGGUGCCGUAACUUCGGGAGAAGGCACGCUGAUAUGUAGGUGAAGCGACUUGCUCGUGGAGCUGAAAUCAGUCGAAGAUACCAGCUGGCUGCAACUGUUUAUUAAAAACACAGCACUGUGCAAACACGAAAGUGGACGUAUACGGUGUGACGCCUGCCCGGUGCCGGAAGGUUAAUUGAUGGGGUUAGCGCAAGCGAAGCUCUUGAUCGAAGCCCCGGUAAACGGCGGCCGUAACUAUAACGGUCCUAAGGUAGCGAAAUUCCUUGUCGGGUAAGUUCCGACCUGCACGAAUGGCGUAAUGAUGGCCAGGCUGUCUCCACCCGAGACUCAGUGAAAUUGAACUCGCUGUGAAGAUGCAGUGUACCCGCGGCAAGACGGAAAGACCCCGUGAACCUUUACUAUAGCUUGACACUGAACAUUGAGCCUUGAUGUGUAGGAUAGGUGGGAGGCUUUGAAGUGUGGACGCCAGUCUGCAUGGAGCCGACCUUGAAAUACCACCCUUUAAUGUUUGAUGUUCUAACGUUGGCCCCUGAUCGGGGUUGCGGACAGUGUCUGGUGGGUAGUUUGACUGGGGCGGUCUCCUCCUAAAGAGUAACGGAGGAGCACGAAGGUUGGCUAAUCCUGGUCGGACAUCAGGAGGUUAGUGCAAUGGCAUAAGCCAGCUUGACUGCGAGCGUGACGGCGCGAGCAGGUGCGAAAGCAGGUCAUAGUGAUCCGGUGGUUCUGAAUGGAAGGGCCAUCGCUCAACGGAUAAAAGGUACUCCGGGGAUAACAGGCUGAUACCGCCCAAGAGUUCAUAUCGACGGCGGUGUUUGGCACCUCGAUGUCGGCUCAUCACAUCCUGGGGCUGAAGUAGGUCCCAAGGGUAUGGCUGUUCGCCAUUUAAAGUGGUACGCGAGCUGGGUUUAGAACGUCGUGAGACAGUUCGGUCCCUAUCUGCCGUGGGCGCUGGAGAACUGAGGGGGGCUGCUCCUAGUACGAGAGGACCGGAGUGGACGCAUCACUGGUGUUCGGGUUGUCAUGCCAAUGGCACUGCCCGGUAGCUAAAUGCGGAAGAGAUAAGUGCUGAAAGCAUCUAAGCACGAAACUUGC
rnacentral:rRNA from 1 species